GCAAGUCGAACGGCAGCACGGGAGCAAUCCUGGGGGCGAGUGGGGAGCGGGUGAGUAAUACAUCGGAACGUGCCCAAUCGUGGGGGAUAACGCAGCGAAAGCUGUGCUAAUACCGCAUACGAUCUACGGAUGAAAGCAGGGGAUCGCAAGACCUUGCGCGAAUGGAGCGGCCGAUGGCAGAUUAGGUAGUUGGUGAGGUAAAGGCUCACCAAGCCGUCGAUCUGUAGCUGGUCUGAGAGGACGACCAGCCACACUGGGACUGAGACACGGCCCAGACUCCUACGGGAGGCAGCAGUGGGGAAUUUUGGACAAUGGGCGAAAGCCUGAUCCAGCCAUGCCGCGUGCAGGAUGAAGGCCUUCGGGUUGUAAACUGCUUUUGUACGGAACGAAACGGCCUUUUCUAAUAAAGAGGGCUAAUGACGGUACCGUAAGAAUAAGCACCGGCUAACUACGUGCCAGCAGCCGCGGUAAUACGUAGGGUGCAAGCGUUAAUCGGAAUUACUGGGCGUAAAGCGUGCGCAGGCGGUUAUGUAAGACAGUUGUGAAAUCCCCGGGCUCAACCUGGGAACUGCAUCUGUGACUGCAUAGCUAGAGUACGGUAGAGGGGGAUGGAAUUCCGCGUGUAGCAGUGAAAUGCGUAGAUAUGCGGAGGAACACCGAUGGCGAAGGCAAUCCCCUGGACCUGUACUGACGCUCAUGCACGAAAGCGUGGGGAGCAAACAGG
rnacentral:rRNA from 1 species